UUGGUGAGUUGGGUGAUUGCUGGCUUACGCAAUCGCCAACUUCUAACUUCUAAAAAAUGUGAAUUAGCUAGUUAUUAGUGGUUGGUAGUUGGUUGUUGCGCUAGCUGGAGGAAAGUCCGAACACUGCUUCGCUAAAGCUACGUAGUGCGAGCACAAGCGAGGCUUAGGCAGUGGCUAACGGCCACCAGAUAUAAUCCAGCCCCACUUUUUGAGUUUUCUAGAAGGGUAGGGUGGUAGUACAAUCUAGAACUACAACUUUGCUUAUAUUGUAAAUAAGAAAAAGUGGAGCUGGAAAAAUCUAGGGAAAGUGGCACAGAGACUAUUCCGAGUCCGCGCAAGCGGGCCACGGGUGAAAAGGCCCCGAACGGGACCGCCCCAUGGUGACAUGGGUGCGCGCUAAACCCUGCCUGGUGCAAGUACAGCCCUUCGACUCGCUUUGCUCGCUCAGGGUAAACUCCACACAGAGAUUACCCUUUGCAAAGGCGUUGAUCGAUUGGAAAAGUUCGUACGCAAAGCCCCGAAGAAAUGAAGGGCUAGAUCCCGAGAGUAAUCGAGGGACCAGAUAAAUAAUCACACAAAUACAGAAUUCGGCUUAUAGACUCGCCAGGAUA
rnacentral:RNase_P_RNA from 2 species